GGCCACAGAAAUGGGUGUUCCUCUCCUCCACUGCAGGACUCUUCCUGCUCCGUUGGUGACCAGCCUUCCCCACACCCCACAUCCUGAAGCUCCCGGACCGCCUGCAUGUGCAGCAGCAGGCAGCAGGGCUUGCAUGGCUGGUACCAGGAACAGCUACAGCUCUGAUUCAUAUGCAUGGAGACAUCAUAUUAUUUGGACACAUUCUGCCUGGCCACCAGUCCAAGUAACCACAGGGCUCAGGACCCUUAGAGCCCUUUCUUUCUCUCCCCCACAGCCAGCAGCAUCUUGGCUUCCUGUAUUGUCUGCCUGCACUAACAGGCCUCUCCUGCCAUCUCCCACACUCUACCUCAAGCACUGAGCCUCUGCCCCACAUGAGGCGCUGUCUAUCACCCUAUACUGACUUCAUGUUCCCAGCUCACCUCUUGCUGAGACUAUUUAUUGUCUGCCGCCCUCCUUGAGAGUUCCCUGUAUCCCCCGUGAGGGGAGCCACAGCAACAUACUUGUGUUGUGAGGUGGUGUGUCAUCUAGAGCGAUAGCUCUACCCUCCAUAUCCACAGAGACGUAUAGAGACUGGACCCAGAACCAACAGCCAUUGUCAUUCCUCGGUCUCCGUCUUCUUUCCUGCCUUCUUCAGUCAGCUGCUGUUGGCAGAGUCCGUAAUAUGUUUAAUGGAC
rnacentral:lncRNA from 1 species